GACUCCGUCUUUUGACUUGGAGACAAUCGUUCCCAUUGGUCUCUUUCCUCCAACCGGUCCAAUCGUUCAUACAGCCUUAGAAACUUAGAUCUCACAAUUCUACGUAUUUCAUUCAUCACAUAUUGAAAAUCUGAUUCUGAAAGCUCUUCUUGAAACAUGAUUUUAUUACUAAAAAAAAAAGAAAAGUGAUUAAAACAAAAAAAAAUUAAAUUCCU
rnacentral:lncRNA from 1 species